rnacentral:rRNA from 1 species
CCUACGGGAGGCAGCAGUGGGGAAUAUUGCACAAUGGGCGCAAGCCUGAUGCAGCGACGCCGCGUGAGGGAUGACGGCCUUCGGGUUGUAAACCUCUUUCAGCAGGGACGAAGCGCAAGUGACGGUACCUGCAGAAGAAGCACCGGCCAACUACGUGCCAGCAGCCGCGGUAAUACGUAGGGUGCAAGCGUUGUCCGGAAUUACUGGGCGUAAAGAGCUCGUAGGCGGUUUGUCGCGUCGUCUGUGAAAACCAGCAGCUCAACUGUUGGCUUGCAGGCGAUACGGGCAGACUUGAGUAUUUCAGGGGAGACUGGAAUUCCUGGUGUAGCGGUGAAAUGCGCAGAUAUCAGGAGGAACACCGGUGGCGAAGGCGGGUCUCUGGGAAAUAACUGACGCUGAGGAGCGAAAGCGUGGGUAGCGAACAGGAUUAGAUACCCUGGUAGUCCACGCCGUAAACGGUGGGCGCUAGGUGUGGGUUUCCUUCCACGGGAUCCGUGCCGUAGCUAACGCAUUAAGCGCCCCGCCUGGGGAGUACGGCCGCAAGGCUAAAACUUAAAUGAAUUGACGG